ensembl:snRNA U1 U1 spliceosomal RNA
ACACUUACCUGGCAGGGGAGACACCAUGAUCAGGAAGGUGGUUUUCCCAGGGUGAGGCUCAUCCAUUGCACUUGGGAUGUGCUGAUCCCUGCGAUUUCCCCAAAUUCAGGAAACUUGACUGCAUAAAUUGUGGUAGUAAGGGACUGCGUUUGCACUCUCCCCUG